GGUUCAAUGGUGCACUGUGUACACCUGCUAAAUAUUACAACUUUCCCUGGUGUCUGCAGGAGGCGCCUGUUCAAUUCGGGCUUGGAUCA